AGAGAUCUGGAAGAUCACCUUAAACAAGUGAUCAAACUUAGCAUUAUGAGCCACCUGCAAUCACGAGGCAGGAAGGAUAUAUCACCUAUGCAGUAUUUUUCCCAAAAAUGCUUACCUUGAAUCUCAUCAUGUGGAAACAGACAAAUCCAGAUUAUGGGACAAUUUACAAAACAACUAUCUUUGACUCUUAAAAAAUGCCAUGUCAUGAAAGAUCAAAAAAAGUAGAGGAAUGUUUUAGAUUAAAGGAAAUGAAGACAUGACAUGCAGUGCCUAAUCUUUGAUUGGAUUCUGUGCUAUUCUUUCAUCUUUCUGGUAUGUUUGAAUUUUUUUUGAAAUAUAAACUUGGGCAAAAGAGAUAACCAAGAUAAUUGAUUAAUUUAUUGUUAUGGCUCAUUGGGGGCAGUUUCAGAGAAAUAAAAACAAUCUUUGUAACUGGAGUAAAUUCU
ensembl:lncRNA novel transcript